rnacentral:rRNA from 1 species
UUCCGGUUGAUCCUGCCGGAGGCUACCGCUAUUGGAGUUCGAUUAAGCCAUGCGAGUCUAGAGGCCUAGCCUCGGCGUACCGCUCAGUAACACGUGGGUAACCUACCCUAUGCUGGGGAAUAAGCUCGGGAAACUGAGAAUAAUACCCCAUAGUCCACUACGCCUGGAACGGUGAGUGGAUCAAAGCUCCGGCGGCAUAGGAUGGGCCUGCGGCGUAUCAGGUUGUAGGGGGUGUAAUGUACCCUCUAGCCAUCCACGCGUACGGGUGUUGGGAAACAUUGCCCGGAGAUGGAUUCUGAGACACGAAUCCAGACCCUACGGGGUGCAGCAGGCGCGAAAACUUGGCAAUGCGAGAAAUCGUGACCAGGGAACUCCAAGUGGCAGGGGUAAGACCCUGUCUUUUUCCGACUCUAAAUAGGUCGGCGAAUAAGGGGUGGGUAAGGACGGUGCCAGCCGCCGCGGUAAUACCGGCGCCUCAAGUGGUAGUCGCUUUUAUUGGGCCUAAAACGUCCGUAGCCGGUCUGGUACAUUCGUGGGUAAAUCAACUCGCUCAACGAGUUGAAUUCUGCGAGGACGGCCAGACUUGGGACCGGGAGAGGUGUGGGGUACUCUCAGGGUAGGGGUAAAAUCCUGUCAUCCUGAGAGGACCACCUGUUGCGAAGGCUCCACAUUAGAACGGAUCCGACGGUCAGGGACGAAGCCUAGGGGCACGAACCGGAUUAGAUACCCGGGUAGUCCUAGGUGUAAACGCUGUGGACUUGAUGUUGGGGACGCUCCGAGCGUUCUCAGUGUCGAAGCGAAGGUGAUAAGUCCACUGCCUGGGGAGUACGGUCGCAAGGCUGGAACUUAAAGGAAUUGGCGGGGGAGCACCGCAACCUGAGGAUUGUGCGGUUUAAUUGGAUUCAACGCCGGG